AAAUAAUCUCAGACAUUUAGUUGUUUUGAUGUGUUAUUUGUUCUUUGUUAUAUAACGGAGAAACGGAGGGUGGAAUUUUUUGUAUAAUAAUUGUAUAUAGAUUAUAGAUUUGUCUGGUCAAUUAGUUUGCCCCGAACGCCGCUAUGGGCAGAACCACAAAGCGGCGUACAAAAAACAUACGUAAACGGCGUAAAGUAGGUACAAGCUGCCUUACAAUAUCACUAUCACCAUAGCACCAAAUCGAGAAACCUGGCUUGGCGAAAUGUUUUGUAUAAUACACAUACUGCUGAAACGUCAAACGGUUCAACGAAUGCAGACUGAUCAUCAAGCACAAACGUCGGUGUCAGAUGUCCAUAACGGACGUGUACUCCC